AUACUAUGAUUAUUCUGAGGUCCGUGUUUCUGAUUGACAGUGACGUCAAAUCCUCUCUGUAUGAUUU
rnacentral:sRNA from 1 species